CAGCCCCAAAGAACUGAGGGGCCAUUUUGACCCUUCAGGGCCUCAUGGAACCAAGUGAACAUGGAACAGAUCACUGUGAACCAACAAAAAGCACUGUGAACUGUGGACAGUGGAAACAUCCUAUCCUUGGUCAGGGCUCUCAGGGUGGCAGGAGAUGGGACCCUGGAGCUCGUGGAAUGGAACCAACACAACUGAUAUAGAUCAUUACAGGGCCAUGAACUGUCACUGAGGAGGAAGAGAGGAGCCUUCCUCAAAUGACCACCAGAGAGUAGAAG